GACGAACGCUGGCGGCGUGCUUAACACAUGCAAGUCGAGCGGUAAGGCCUCGGGGUACACGAGCGGCGAACGGGUGAGUAACACGUGGGUGAUCUGCCUCGCACUCUGGGAUAAGCCUGGGAAACUGGGUCUAAUACCGGAUAGGACCACUGAUCGCAUGGUUGGUGGUGGAAAGAUUUAUCGGUGUGAGAUGGGCCCGCGGCCUAUCAGCUUGUUGGUGGGGUAAUGGCCUACCAAGGCGACGACGGGUAGCCGGCCUGAGAGGGCGACCGGCCACACUGGGACUGAGACACGGCCCAGACUCCUACGGGAGGCAGCAGUGGGGAAUAUUGCACAAUGGGCGGAAGCCUGAUGCAGCGACGCCGCGUGAGGGAUGACGGCCUUCGGGUUGUAAACCUCUUUCGACAGGGACGAAGAGAGAUUGACGGUACCUGUAGAAGAAGCACCGGCCAACUACGUGCCAGCCGCCGCAGUAAGAC
rnacentral:rRNA from 1 species